GCAUGUCUCCUUCAACAUUCUUGGCUUUAAGACCCUAACAAUCUCCAUAGCAACCUAGAACACACAGCUUGUACCCACAGGGCCCUAUUUGUCUGACCCUCCUCUGCUUUUCAUGCUUCUCUUGUUUUCACCGGCAACUUCCACACACCAAAGCAGAAGGGAAUAGCAGUACCAAACAUAAAAGUUUCUGGGAUAAAUCAGACCGCAAGCCAAUGAUACCUGUCCAGUUACAAAGAAAGGGACACCAAGAGAAGUUACAUCAGUGUCUCCUCC